GAAAGGAGCAAGGAAUGUGUUCCAGAUGCCUUCCCAGAUUGCUCCCACCACCCCAACAUUUUGCCUUGUCACACAUGGGAAAGAGAAGCAUCCUCUGCAAAUGCCCAUACCCGCCAGCGGGCAUGCAGGCAGCUGUGCGCAGUGAAUGGUUAAUACAGCAUAUAUGUCACACAUGCCCCAGGAACAAAAAGCAAUUCAGAAUCCCCUUUAAAAUCCCCGUCAGCACUCUCAGCAGAGAAACUUGCCCACAUAACACACACCCGCUUGUGACUGAUAAAGAUUGAAAUCAUGGCCUCGAUCCAUUCGCGCUUUUCUGAUCCGUCACACUGAGGUCCGCAGCCACCCGUGGAACGGCACGCUUUGCCGCUACGACUUUUCUCCUGACCCGCAGAAAUGUUCUCUGUGUCUGUUUUGGCAGCUGGGCGUAACUCAAUCUGCUAUGGUAUCCACGCUUAGACAAUCCUACAAAUUUCUCGGCCUUGGAGAGAAACAGAAUGGAAGACGUGAGAAUGAGAAGACGUACACACACGAAUGGAGCCUAAGGAGUAGAAGCCCAUUUCUCAGCCAGCAUGAGCUGCCAGAGCAGCACUGGCUCCUCAGGGAGAGGGGGGAGGCAAGAGGAGCCAGGCGAUGGAAAUACUUUAGCUGCAUGUCAGAUAUCUACCUUUGUACAUGGAUUUUGUAACUAAGAUUUAUCUAGAUCUUAGCAAGUGAGUGUUUUCCCCUAACGGAAACAUUGGCUGCAGGCAGUUAUAUCUUUCCUUUUCGUUCUCCAAUACUUUUUUUUUUUCAUUUUGUAACACUCUUUUUGUUUUGAUGUACAAAACAUACUUGUGAUGCUGCCUACAUUCAUACUCUUCGGGGUUCUCAAACAAUGUCUGGGGGUACUUUGAGACUGCAGGGUACACUGCGGACAUAGACACGGAUGGCAUAGACUGACGAGAUGGACAUAGUGAACAGAAGUAGAUUGUGAGGUAUAAAGGUUAUGUCUGUGCUCAUCGUGCUGACUGUUAUAGCAUUACUCUGUAAUCUGCAGUCCUUGGGUCCCAACUGCCUGGCAGUCACUCUUCUCCCAUUCCUGUAUCCUAAUACUUGGGGUCAGGUGCUGAAAUCACAGGUGGGUGGCCAGGGCCUGAAUAUUAGCAGCUGGCUUUACUUCCAGCUCCCAGAACAUUUACUGGGAGGUUGGAGAGGGUGUAUUCACUUAGAGUUCAUGGUGACAUUUAUACUCUUAUUAUUAUCCUGUCUUAAUUAAAUUUCAUAUUGUUCUUAAUUGUGUGUGUGGCCCCUGAGACAAUGUGCAGGACUCAUUAUGAAAAAGACAGCGUUAUGUAGUGCAGAAUUCAGCUCUAUGAGACACCUCACUUCACCUACCUGGAGAAAAGACUUCAAUAGAAGGGAAAUCAAUUCUGGCACACUGGUCAAGAACCAAUCCAGUGGGCAAGGCAAAACCAGAAGGGCAAGAAUAGCUAAAAACAAGCUCAUGUCUUUAAAUUUCACCUAAGUUGCAAAGAGUAAAAUGUAGUUGUAGUAUUAAGGGGCAUCCUGCUUUUGCCACGUCACAUUUUAUGUGAAUGUUUCUGAUGCAGGUUUUAAUUCAUCUUCAGUCACAAAAUGACUCUGUGAAAGAGAGGAAGUCAUGAAGCAGGGUGACUGUGGCUGCACCCACAUGGCUUGAAGCACGUGCCAGCCAGUGACAGUAUGUCUCCUUUCCCUCUCUGCCACUGGGAUCUACAGAGACCAUCCACGGGCACCACUUUGAGCACCUUUCUUAAUGAUCCACUCCUCCACUAGGAUAUAGACGUAUAUAGAUAUCUGUGUUUAUUUCCACUUUCUGUACAGCAAAACACAUAGCUUGUUCAGGAGACGAUGAACAUUUGCUAAUAAAAUUCCUUGUUUUCUACGU
ensembl:lncRNA